UACGUAGGGCGCAAGCGUUGUCCGGAAUUAUUGGGCGUAAAGAGCUUGUAGGCGGUUUGUCGCGUCUGCUGUGAAAUUUCGGGGCUCAACCCCGAACUUGCAGUGGGUACGGGCAGACUAGAGUGUGGUAGGGGAGAAUGGAAUUCCCGGUGUAGCGGUGAAAUGCGCAGAUAUCGGGAGGAACACCGGUGGCGAAGGCAGGUCUCUGGGCCACUACUGACGCUGAGAAGCGAAAGCAUGGGGAGCGAACAGG
rnacentral:rRNA from 1 species